CCUACGGGUGGCUGCAGUGAGGAAUAUUGGUCAAUGGGCGGAAGCCUGAACCAGCCAAGUAGCGUGCGGGAUGAAGGCCCUACGGGUCGUAAACCGCUUUUGCACGGGGAUAACACCCUCCACUUGUGGAGGUCUGCAGGUACCGUGCGAAUAAGGGCCGGCUAAUUCCGUGCUAGCAGCCGCGGUAAUACGGAAGGCCCGAGCGUUAUCCGGAUUCAUUGGGCUUAAAGGGAGCGUAGAUGGGUUGUUAAGUCAGUUGGGAAAGUUUGCGGCGUAACCGUAAAAUUGCAAUUGAUACUGGCAGCCUUGAGUACAGUUGAGGUAGGCGGAAUUCGUGGUGUAGCGGUGAAAUGCUUAGAUAUCACGUAGAACUCCGAUUGCGAAGGCAGCUUACUAAACUGCCACUGACAUUGAUGCUCGAAAGUGUGGGUAUCAAACAGGAUUAGAUACCCUUGUAGUC
rnacentral:rRNA from 1 species